GGGCUCGCUCCAGCAGCACAUAUACUAAAGCUGGAAUGAUAGAGACAUUAGCAUGGCCCCGGUGCAAGAAUGGCAUGCAAAUCUGUGAAGUGUCCCAUGCUUUU
ensembl:snRNA U6 U6 spliceosomal RNA